AAGACUCUACUUCCAGGUAUAAUUUCUAUGGUUUAUUACUGGAAAAGUUUCUCUAAAUAUGUAGAUCACUGGAAAUAAGAAGCAGCACAGAGUUCUCUGAGUGAAGCUGGCUUUUGGAAUUACUUGGCUGCAACUGUCAUUUGCCACUUUAAGAUUUUAUUUACUGAUUUUUUUUUUGAGACAGUCUCUCACUCUGU
rnacentral:snoRNA from 1 species